rnacentral:rRNA from 1 species
GACGAACGCUGGCGGCGUGCCUAAUACAUGCAAGUCGAACGAACCGCGACUAAGUGCUUGCACUAAGUCAAGGUGAGUGGCGAACGGGUGAGUAACACGUGGGUAACCUACCUCAUAGUGGGGGAUAACAGUCGGAAACGACUGCUAAUACCGCAUAGGACAUAGGAUCACAUGAUCCAGUGAGGAAAGGUGGCGCAAGCUAUCGCUAAGAGAUGGACCCGCGGUGCAUUAGCUAGUUGGUAGGGUAAAGGCCUACCAAGGCGAUGAUGCAUAGCCGACCUGAGAGGGUGAUCGGCCACAUUGGGACUGAGACAAGGCCCAAACUCCUACGGGAGGCAGCAGUAGGGAAUCUUCCGCAAUGGACGCAAGUCUGACGGAGCAACGCCGCGUGAGUGAAGAAGGUCUUCGGAUCGUAAAGCUCUGUUGUUAGAGAAGAACAGCGCAUAGAGUAACUGCUAUGCGUGUGACGGUAUCUAACCAGAAAGCCACGGCUAACUACGUG